rnacentral:tRNA from 1 species
GGAGAGAUGGCAGAGUGGUCUAUCGCGUUAGAUUGCUAAUCUAUUGUACAAUAUUUUGUACCGAGGGUUCGAAUCCCUCUCUCUCCU